GCUAUGUCUAGGGUAGCUCCCGAAAACUAGUACACCUCUACUAGCUGGCAUAGCUCCUAUCAAAAGAGG
rnacentral:sRNA from 1 species